GUCUAGCCCUGAUAGUAGCGGCAUCCUUAAUACCCUUGGAGGGUUAGAGCCCUACAAGGGUAUUAAGAUAUAGCGGAUAGCAGGAAAUAGC
rnacentral:sRNA from 1 species